UACGUAGGGGGCAAGCGUUGUCCGGAUUUAUUGGGCGUAAAGAGCGUGUAGGCGGCCAGGUAGGUCCGCUGUGAAACUCGAGGCUCAACCUCGAGAUGUCGGCGGAAACCAUCUGGCUAGAGUCCGGAAGAGGAGAGUGGAAUUCCUGGUGUAGCGGUGAAAUGCGCAGAUAUCAGGAAGAACACCCGUGGCGAAGGCGGCUCUCUGGGACGGUACUGACGCUGAGACGCGAAAGCGUGGGGAGCGAACAGG
rnacentral:rRNA from 1 species